CCUACGGGGUGCAGCAGUGGGGAAUAUUGGACAAUGGGCGAAAGCCUGAUCCAGCCAUGCCGCGUGUGUGAAGAAGGCCUUCGGGUUGUAAAGCACUUUCAGUGGGGAAGAAAGCCUUGGGGCUAAUACCCUCGAGGAAGGACAUCACCCACAGAAGAAGCACCGGCUAACUCCGUGCCAGCAGCCGCGGUAAUACGGAGGGUGCGAGCGUUAAUCGGAAUUACUGGGCGUAAAGCGCGCGUAGGCGGUCUGAUAAGCCGGUUGUGAAAGCCCCGGGCUCAACCUGGGAACGGCAUCCGGAACUGUCAGGCUAGAGUGCAGGAGAGGAAGGUAGAAUUCCCGGUGUAGCGGUGAAAUGCGUAGAGAUCGGGAGGAAUACCAGUGGCGAAGGCGGCCUUCUGGACUGACACUGACGCUGAGGUGCGAAAGCGUGGGUAGCAAACAGGAUUAGAUACCCCGGUAGUC
rnacentral:rRNA from 1 species